UGGAAAUCAUGAGAAUACUUC
rnacentral:piRNA from 1 species